CCUACGGGUGGCAGCAGUGAGGAAUAUUGGUCAAUGGCCGAGAGUCUGAACCAGCCAAGUCGCGUGAGGGAAGACGGCCCUACGGGUUGUAAACCUCUUUUGUCGGGGAGCAAAGUGAACCACGUGUGUUUCAUUGCGCGUACCCCCUGAGUAAGCAUCGGCUAACUCCGUGCCAGCAGCCGCGGUAAUACGGGGGAUGCUGGCGGUAUCCGGAUUUAUUGGGUUUAAGUGGUUCGCAGGCGGACGUGCAAGUCAGCGGUCAAAUUGCGGGGCUCAACCCGGGACUGCCGUUGAAACUGGAGGCCUGGAGUGCGCGAGAAGUAUGCGGAAUGCGUGGUGUAGCGGUGAAAUGCAUAGAUAUCACGCAGAACUCCGAUUGCGAAGGCAGCAUACCGGAGCGCAACUGACGCUGAUGCACGAAAGUGUGGGUAUCGAACAGGAUUAGAUACCCUAGUAGUC
rnacentral:rRNA from 1 species